UACGUAGGGGGCAAGCGUUGUCCGGAUUUAUUGGGCGUAAAGCGCUCGCAGGUGGUUCGUUGCGUCGUGCGUGAAAGACCCCGGCUCAACUGGGGAGUGUCGUGCGAUACGGGCGAACUGGAGGCCAGUAGGGGGAUGCGGAAUUCCGGGUGUAGUGGUGGAAUGCGUAGAGAUCCGGAGGAACACCAGCGGCGAAGGCGGCAUCCUGGACUGGUCCUGACACUCAUGAGCGAAAGCGUGGGGAGCGAUCCGG
rnacentral:rRNA from 1 species